GGGCUGGCUGAAGCACUUGGGGGAUGUAUAGUCCUCUUAUGAGGCUAGUUAUGUUUCUGUGAUGAGUAAUGCACCUGGAUGGGGGUUACAAAAUAUAAAACAUAAUACCAACUACGUUGGAUAAAGUUCUAGAUAGAAUACUGAUUAUGACAAUUUUCUAUCUACAUGUCUUGACCAAAUUACGUGCCAGCAGUCGCGGUAAUACGUAGAAGACUAGUGUUAUUCAUCUUUAAUAGGUUUAAAGGGUACCUAGACGGCAUUACUAACCCUAAACAAGGAAAUAGUUUUGCUAGAGUUUUAUAUGAGAAGGUAGUAUUUAUGGAGUAGAGAUCAAAUUCUUUGAUACCUUAAGGACUGGUAAAAGCGAAAGCAACCUUUUAUGUAAUAACUGACGUUGAGGGACGAAGGCUAGGAUAGCGAACAGGAUUAGAUACCCUAGUAGUCUUAGCAGAAAAUGAUGAAUGUCAUAGACUAGAUUUUAAUUUGGUCUAUAAAUGAAAGUGUAAGCAUUCCACCUCAAGAGUAAUGUGGCAACGCAGGAACUGAAAUCAUUAGACCGUUUCUGAGAACAGUAGUGAAGUAUGUCGUUUAAUUCGAUAACCCACGAAAAACCUUACCACAACUUGAAUAAUGUCAUUAGUAGAUUAUGUAGAAGUGCAUUUAAUACAGUGAUGUUACAAGUGUUGCACGGUUGUCUUCAGCUAAUGUCGUGAGAUUUUGGUUAGUUCCAUAAAAUUAGCGUAAACCCCGGCUUUAUUUUUAAAUUUUUAUCAUAAAGCAGUUCAUCAUUAUAUUGAAUACAUGAUAACAGGGAUCAAGACAAAUCAUCAGGCCCC
rnacentral:rRNA from 1 species